GCUGGUGCAGACAUCUC
rnacentral:misc_RNA from 1 species